rnacentral:lncRNA from 1 species
AAAACUGUAUUUUAUAAAGCUGAAAUAUAGCUGAAAAGAUUGAACUAAAAAAAAUAGGUCACCGAUAAGGAAAAUAGAAUAGUGUGCCUUAAAAUCCAAGUUUUGGCUGGAAAAUGUUGAAAUUUGAUGAAAUUUCCUUUUGAGCCUGUCACAGAUACACAGUCAUAAUAACGAUAAUUUUUAGUAACAUAACCACAAUGAUUUAACAUUUCUAAUCAAUCAAAAUAUUUAAAAAAAAAUAACAUCGAAUACGACACAUACUAAUCGUGUGCAUUGUAAUUCAUGCGUGAAAUUAUGCGCAGUCGAAUAGUCCCGAUACAUAUUAAGAGUGUCACAUAUAUCAUUAUUUAAAAAGAAAACAAAG